rnacentral:lncRNA from 1 species
UUGCCAGAUGCUGUCCUGUUGGAAAUUCUUCUUUACGUGAUCCUGGAGGAGGGUGAUGCUACAUUACUAAGUCCGUCUUUGGUUUGUUCCAAAUUCAGAAGUCUGCUGUACUGUAUACAGACUCCUUUCGAAAGGGGGCACAAUCCAGCUUGCUUGACUGAGUAUCUUUUACAGAUUUGAUUAGAGGUUUAAAAAGGUGGAACAAAAUGGAGAACAAGUCUAAGCCAUGUCAGGAAUUCAACAAAAUGUACACCCUGCAGACACUGCGACGAGGUUUACAUCAACUGCUUACCAGGUCACUGCAGUCGCCCGGAUCCAGUACGUAUCCAGACCAGAUGGUGGAUCAGCACCUAGAAAGGACCUCUACAUCCCUGAAAGACAGCGGAGACCAGGACAACUAGAGCCCCAGAUACAGAUCCCCUGUAAAGACCUUGUUUUUUCUCCAUUUUGUCACCGGUGGAGUUUUGGUUCCUUGUCGCCUCUGGCUUGCUUCGUUGUGGUCACUUCAUUUACAGCGAUAUCAUUGACAUAAUUGCAAAUGAUUCCACAGAUACUAUUUAAACUGAACCGAGCUGAAGGAUGACAUCACUGAAUUGAAUGAUAAACUGACUACAAACUGAGUUUACUAAUGUCCUUCUGCAUUAUUGACUGACACACUAUUUUCCUAUUUAAUACUGUAAAGUUGCUUUGCUUUGAUCUGUAUUAUUAAAAGCACUAUAUAAAUAGACGAUGCUUGACUUGACCAUGUUGCAAGAGGAAAAUGAGGGGAGAUGCACAUCCACCCUGGGUUUUACAGUGAUUGGUGCAAGAUGCUGGAGAAGUAACUCUGUAUACCUCAUCAGUUCUGAUCUAAGAGUCUUGAAAAUACCUCCGGAUUGUUGUUAGUGAUUCUGAUUGAUAUUUUAGUCUGCUUGCUUACUGGAUAUAUUUUAUACUGUUUACAUUGUAAAGCACUGACUUUGACAACUUACUAACCCAGUUACAAAUUUAACAGCUACUUUAUACUAUAUAUAUAUAUAUAGUUGUUUCUUGAAAUACUACAAAUAUAACCGCAAAUUAUGAUUUUAAAUAAAGGUCUCUGAGACUUCUCUCUUUUCAGUCAUUUGUGUAUAUAGCCUAUAAUAUACAACAUACACCAAGUAAGUGCCACUCUCGUAUAUAAAUAUAAAUUGUUUUAUUUCACACAAACAAUGAUACAUGCAUGCAUAAACAUUCAGC